UUUUUGUAUUUCUUUCUUUCUUUUUUCUUUCUUUUUUUUUUUUUUUUUUUUGGUGUGUGUUGCACCAGAGAUGAGAGACAAGAAUUACAUCUUCAGAAAAUGACUCAUAACUCAUGACCGUAUGAGGGAAUGCACAGGCUUUUUACAGUAGGCUGCUUGACUCAAUGCUAGGCGGAACAUUUCCUCCUAAAAGUACUUUAGCUUGACAUGGGGACUCGUUUUCACAUGAAAUGUUGUUAUUAUUAUUUUUUAAGUACACUUCAGCAAACUGAUAAGAGCAGCUGGGAACCAGACCUCCCCCCCUCCUCGUGGAGGUAAAGCCCAGGAUUGAGACCUCACUCCUAUGCUCCUCUUUCACUGCUUAACAAUGAGUCGUGUAAUUAUAAACCUCUGUCACUUUUUUUAGUCAGUUUGACAAUAUUCAUUGCAGGGUUUCCCCCCUGCCCCUUAAGUUAAACAAAGCUUCAGUGUGUCAUUUUUUUCCCCCCCAGAAAAGAAACAGAAAUCAAAACUAGUGUUGUCAGGGUUUUCAGGCUCCCAGUGGCUCCCUGACUUGUAAACUUUUGUACCUAUUUCUGUGUACGACAGGCUCCAAACAAGACAGAAUCUGUCAAAAGGAGAGUGGAGGAGCACUUGGUUUGCCUGACACAAGGCUCCUGCAACUAAGUCCAUCUUGAAGAAGAUGCUGUAGCUUUAAAGAUGCUUUGACUCGAGGAUUAGUUUAAACAGGGGGCUAUAAAAGAUGUAACAGAUGCAAACUGUAAAACAAGGGCAAUUAACCCUUGCUCUUCUGAACAAAAUCCAGCCUAACCUCAGCAUCUAUUGUCUACUCCUAUAGCCUCAGCUUUGCACAAAACCUAGAAACUGAUGACCUGUCUCAACAUUUUUUUCUGAACCCAAGUGGCGUUAGCUUUUAUUUUGCAUUCUGACUUGAAGAGAGAAUGCCAGCAAGAGUGAUCAGUUCAGUGGGCUGCCCCUCCGCCUUUUAUUUUGCCUCAGCUUUCCUUCCACAGCCCCUUGGUCUUAAAACAAGGUUGGCUAAACAAUUCCCUAUACAGGAGAGAGAGGAGAGACCCUGAAACACACGCCACCUAUCUUUGUGGGGAGGGAUAAUUGAAGAGCACCAAACGUGAGCAUCAUGUGGAAACGUGAUCGCCAAGUUUCUCUCUGGGAAAGGAUCUGGGAUAGAUUAUACCUUGAAGUCUCCGCAAACGCUUUAGUGGAAGAAAUGAAAUUCCACCUCCCUCCCGCUCUGUUUCCCUCCCUCCCUCCCCCCCCCCCGCUCCCUUUCCUCCCUCCCUCCCCAGCCAUCAAGUCUUUGGCAUCAUUAUCCUCUUCACUAAAUCCUACUGGAUACAAGGCGGAAAACGGUGAACACCAUUCACAGAACUGGAUAACUCAAAGGAACUGAAAGUUAAAGGGAGCGAUCCUGCGCCUUGCAGCCCAGCUCCCUGCUCCUUCCCACCCAGCCCCCUCUGAGGGCCUGAUCCUGCGGACGGGGCCGCUGGGGCAGAUUUCUCCGCAUGGAUCCUAGCACCAAAGUCUUUCUCCCUGCCUCAGUUUUGUCCCUCUGAUUUGAGAGGAGGAGACCACCUCAUCAAGUGGGGGCCAGGGACGAAGCGCUGGGGUUGCACUGAGCAGCACCCACUGGGCUCCUGAUCAUUUGGGGCUGGUUGGGCAUGCUUAUUCCCACGCUCACCCAGUUUGUGGGAAAGGGCUGUUCUCCUGGGAUGAAGGAACCUUGUUUUCUGUUUUGUUCACAGAUAUAGAUUGGGGGGGAGAAGAGGGAGAGAGUGGAGAAUUUUUCCUGUCUCACUCCCCUCAUUUGGAAGGGGAUAGAUAGAGAGAGAGAGAGAGAGAGGGAGAGCGAGAGAGAGAGAGAGAGAGAGAGGCAGGUAGGCAGAGAAGGAGUGAGCGAGCGGUGUUGAACUUCCAGGGGUUACAAGUUUUUCACCUUUUUUCCAUAUUAAAAUUAAUAUAAAAUUAAAAAAAAGGAACAGACUCCACCUUUGCACUGAAGGGAUUGGUUAUGCAAAUAUGGAAGGGGUUUCCUGGCGAAUACUGCUUUCUACUGUAUGGUUAAUUAAAUCAUCACUCAAAAGCCUUCCAAUGUGACGCUUCUGUCGUAAUCCAAUCAGGUUACGUAGGUCCUAAACAAGAAAGAUAUUUUCCACAUCUGGAAGUCAGCAAUUUAGCAAGUACUGCACAUUAUUAACCAAUUCAGAGCCCACUUCCCAGGGGGAUUUUUUUUUUUGAAGUUUAAGUGUUCUUAACCAAUGCUCUGCUGUUUUGUUAAUCAAAAAGCUGGUUUACACUGCACAUAAUUGGGAACUAAUACAGAAGUAACUCAAAGCAGCCAAAUUUGUGGAUGCUGAGCUAAGACAUUCAGCUGAGAAAGGGGGAAAAAACUGAGCCUCGAUCAGUUCCUGCCCAGCUUCCCUCAGACCCCACAUAUGCUUCCUUCUCUAAAAGAGCUUUAAAUAAUCUCAAUGCAAAGAUAAACGUCCAAUCCUGCAUGUUAGCAUGAUCCUUUCUGAAGGUAAACGUGGAGCUGCCCAAAGGGCUGUACUAGUGGGCUCCGGAACAAUUCCCCUGCUUUGACAGUUAAAUCUAUUACAGUCCUUUUUUUCCCCUCCUGAAGAAAACUGAAACAAUGGUACACUGAUCCGACACUAUACUUUUACUUACAUUAAGCUAAGAUAAACUGCUCUUGAACUGUGCAUUAAAUGUGUGCCUACAGCAAGAACUGGAAUGCUAGCAAUAGUCACUAGCAAUUGCCCUCAAAAAUGCUCCUGAUCAGGGAACACCUUUGUGAUGAUUAAACAUUGCCAAGGAAUUCAAAUCUAACGUGCAUUUGAAAAUCCUCAGCUCCACUAAGGCUUGAUGAUUAUUUUUAUCUUCUAAUAAAUCUACCCUGGCAUUUCUUUUAAAUAAAUCUAAUCUGAGUUUGCUUGUUCUGGCAACCGCCCGAUCAUACACAUUUUGGGGGAGAAGGAUAGAACUGUGCAGUUGGGUACAGUGUACAAUUUGGAUACAUCUGGGGACCGUAACUGUCAAUGCAACUAAUGAAUAAAAGCGUUAGCAGAAACCUGAGAUUUCUUUAGUGCAGGCAGAUAUUACAGCAAUAGCCACAAGAUUUUUUCCCCUUUUCCAAUCAGAUCCUCAGCUCAGUUUGUUUUUCCUGCUGUUUCCCUGUUGUCAUUCUCUGAGUAAGGAAGGACUUCAAGCUUUUACGAGAGGAGCUUACUAACCUGUUUCUUUCAAUACACCGGUCACCUUUCUUUCAGGCUCUCCUUCACCCUUCAAGCUGACAAUUUCUGCAACUCUUAAAAGCACCCCAGCAGAGAUGCAUCCUCCAGAUAAAAUGCUCUGAUCUUCGCUGGACUGGCACAGCACUUCAGCCUCUCUCAGACAUUAUUUUAGCGUGGUGUAGAAGGUUGCAUUCUCCCAGGACAAAGACACGAAGAGACGGAACGUAGCCCUUCUGACUUUAUAUUACUUAUCUAACUAAGGAUUGCUGGAUGGAGUCUAAAGCUCAUGAACUGGGACUUCAAGCUUACCCUUCAUAUUGAAGAUGGAGGAAAAGGAAAACAUGAUGAUUGCCUGAUAUCUUACCAUUAUUUGGAUUACUGAAGUUCUUCUGUAAAAAGUGGUGAAACUGGAGUGCUGGAGAUCUCUCGUGUCACUUGUGCAGUGACAAUGUCUGCUUUUUUGACUGACAUUCUGUUCCUCUGCUGAUGUCUUUAUACCACACUUUAUUGACACAGUUUGACACUGCCUCAGCAAUUGAUGUUUAGCAGAGGACAUGCCAUUUUUGAGCUGUGUGAGGCAACCCAAAGAGGAAUGAAGUUAAAAGUUUGAAGAACAUCAUGAGAAAAAAAAAACAAACCUGAGCCGCAAAUAAAUAUGCAGUGUCGAGAUUUCUUACGACUACCAGUUAACAAAACCAGAAAGACUAUGCCUGCAACUAGAAACAAAGAAAAGUUGCAAGACCACUAGCAGCUGGUCAGCAGACCAAAGCUGGGAACUGACAGUACUACACGUGCUGUAACAAUUGCCAUGUUAAGUUGAUUGUGGGAUUAUUGGAUAAACAAGGGCAACAUUAUACCUUUCAUGGAAAAUCUUGCAGGAGACAGAAGAUCCAGGAAAAUAGCUGCUUUGGGUGCUCCAUGAUGAUACUGCAUUAAUGGAUAUUCAUGCUUUUUGUAGCAUCCUAAACAGAAGGAUAUUGAAGGGAGCUGAUUCUGCUUUGAUCCUUAUGCUUGUUGUCAAAGCGCUUGGGAUUGAAGAGACUGUUGGCUACAAUUGACUGUGACAAUUAGGAGAUGAUCAGAGCCCUAGAGUGGAGCACUUAAAGGGUAAUUUACAUGUCAGUUUGUCGAAUAAAAAAAAGAUAUUCAGCUAAGAUUUUUUUUUUCCUCAGAGCCUUGUAAACUGCAAUUUGUGCUCUGGUAAGAAAAACCUGGCAGAGGAGUUAGGAUAGCCAUUUCCAUUUGAAAAGAGGCAAUCAUAAGGCCACUGCUGAGCCUAUUGUCCACUAAAAAUGCUGAUUUGCAGUCAGUGAGUGAAAGAGUGGAACCAUCACUAAAUAGAACCUUGUGCAAGGGGAACCUCUAGUUCUGUGGUUGGCUUGCUGUAUGGGGAAGACGAGGUGAAGAAUCCCAUGCAUCAAAAGAACAGCAAGUGCUUUACAGACAAAGAACCAUGAUCCCAGCCACAAGAACUUACCAUCUGAAUUUGCAGGGUGAAGUGCAAAGGAUCUAUUUUCAUUUCCUAGAAGAGAGAGGGCAAAGCUUUCUGAAAAGCAGAAAAAGAGGAAGAGAUAGCAACAUCUACCAAACAAAUAUGUUGUGAAGAAACUGGUUUUGAAAGUAAUCUUGGGUGGACAGGAAACCUGGCUUUUUAAAAUCAGAAACCUUCAAACAACACAGAUAGAACUGUGCUCCAAGUUCCUAAUGCCUAACACAGGAAUUUGGCUCUUUCAAACAUGAGAUUCGGGUGAAAUCACAGGGCAAUAAGAUACUCCAGACAGUGAAGUUAAGCUGCUGGGAAAGGAUGUGCCGACAUCAGUCCACACAUGGGUGACUAGUAGCACAGCACUGCAGGGUGAGUCAUGGGGAAUGGAGGGUGUUGCCCUGUCUGACAUAGCAACUGCCUGGCAGCGAUCAGCAAGGAUGCUGGAGUAGGCUUUUUAGCCAUUUCCAUGGACAAUACACUCCAAUGUCUGUUCUCUACACAAUCUGAGGGAAGACUAAGAUACUGGUAUUCUAUUAAUGCUAAUGCUACAAACCAAAAAUCCCAUGGAUCAAAAAGAUAAUAGACUACAUGAGGGUAAUAAAUAGCUAUGCCAACAAAUCCAUGUGUGAUGGGGUUUUAAGGACUGGCAUUUGUCACCGUAGUACUUUUCAGUGAAGCUAAGCAUGUGCAGUCUUGGGGAGGGAGCUAGCUCUCAGGAAGUCUAAGCGACAGCUUGUCCAACAGCUCCCCCACAAGCUCCCCAUUCAUUUUAGUUUCCCCAUCAAAAUCAGCCUGUUUGUUUCCAAACCCUUUAUACAUUUAUUUCAGGCUAUAUUAGAUCAGCAAUGUUCUCAAAAACACCCAUUGAUGUCAGCUGAGUUAAACUGAUGUAACCAUUAAAAGAAUUUGGCUCUUCAUUUUUUUAUUGCCUUCCUCAAUUUUUCUGCUCAUCUACCAUGCACCCUGUUCCUCCUUAGAAUCCUUCCUCUGUCAGUGUGAGAGCCUUCUACUCUGCAGCUCUUGCCUUGCUACUUCAUAUCAGAUCUUGACUGAAAGUAUAUCUGUUCCGCUUUUUACUUCCUCCUUCCAUCCAUCCUCCUGUUUUCUAUAACAUGCUUUGUGAUCCAGUUUUUAAGAAAAGCUUUGUGAAAAAUAGUAGUUUAGUAUUUUUUUUGUGCACCUAUUCAUACAUUAUUUCCAUCCUGUAGUCCUCCCUUAUC